rnacentral:lncRNA from 1 species
AAAUGAGCUGAGCCCGAGCCUGGAGAACUACUUAACAAGCCCGGGUCUGUAUAACUACUUAACAAGCCGAGCUCGAACCGGGCUUAAAUACUGCUACAUCCAGAUCCAAUCCUCAUGUGAUUCCUUUCACUACUUACGCUACAGUAUACACAAUCAAUUCAAGCCCACUAACAUCGGACUGCUGAUAGACUAGCCCAAUAACACAACAAGACAUAAUUACACUAAAACCUAAAGAUAUUGAAAUGGGUAGGUUUUUAGGAAGAAGACACAGAGACAAAACGAUACCUGGAAUCUACAUGGCUCUCGAUGUCCCACAAGAAAGAUCCAAAGGUGACGGCUUCCAAAACAAGUCUCUUAAGUCCGGCGAUGCUUAUCUUCACGACUUCAUCUUUAUUGCUACUGUUACCAGAGACGGAAUCAGAUUUACCAAACAGAGCUUCGGUGUGUUUCUCUAUGAUGCUGAAAGCUUCUUUGGAUCUUAUACUUGCGUAUGUCUGCAAUGUCUCGGAAUCAAAAGACAUGACGUAAGUCCGCAGUGGGGUUGGUUUCAUCCCUAACCCGAACCCACCUCCUAGAUUUGUUGCAUCACCAACACCAUCAGAAUCAGAGAGUGAAGAAGAAGGUAAGGAUUUCAC